UACGGAGGGUGCGAGCGUUGUCCGGAAUCACUGGGCGUAAAGGGCGCGUAGGCGGCCUGAUAAGUAGGGGGUGAAAUCCUGCGGCUUAACCGCAGGGCUGCCUUCUAAACUGUCAGGCUAGAGCACAGUAGAGGCAGGUGGAAUUCCCGGUGUAGCGGUGGAAUGCGUAGAGAUCGGGAAGAACAUCAGUGGCGAAGGCGGCCUGCUGGGCUGUUGCUGACGCUGAGGCGCGACAGCGUGGGGAAGCAAACAGG
rnacentral:rRNA from 1 species